UCUACUUCACCUCUUAAGAUCCAUCCAUCUUGAUCCCGUCUGUUGUUCUCUGGUCACGCCACCGGUGGCCUCGUGAUGCACCGCGCCUCCACCCUCACCUCCUCCUGCUGCCCCAUGCGCCUGGCCAUGGGAUCACUGGUUGCUGACGUUCUACUGUGGCGCCACGCCACCAACGGCCAACCUACUGCUGCAGAGGACGGAGGAGUUAACCUGUGGUCGGGUGCCUUGCGCAACCUGGAUCCUGAGCACGAUCGCGCCCCUCUCCUCAUCUAGAGUUUUUUAUUCCAUUCAAGCUACUCUGGUAAGUGGUGUAUAUGUUGAUCCGUUUUGUAAUACCCAUGAAGCAAAUUGGUUGCCACACCUCCGUUACACCAUUUGACUCUCAUCAGGUUGUUGCUCAUCCAUUGUUUUUUUAAUCAGGUAGCUGGAUGCUCGCAUCCAAGAUCUGCAUGACUGCAGGUGAUUACGAAAUAGUUUCCCAACUUCUCUGUUUUAGCUACCUAAGAAAGGGUAUCUAUCCAAGGCAUGCAUCAUUAGUCCAACAUAAAAUUUCCACACCCAAGGUCAUCUGUGAUCGGAGGAACACUUUAUGUACAGACACAUGAAAGUGAAACUGAAGAGCUAUGUAACUACUCUAUGUAAUAUGGGCUUUUAUUUUUGACAAGGUAUGUUAAUUAUAUGAGAUGACCACUAAGUUGAUUUUUUUCAGAGGUAUGGAUCUGUUAUUUUAGUUUAUAUCCCAUGAUGUCUCUUUCCUUUGUAAAGCAUGAAAUUGCAUCGGUCCUAACCAUGUAUUGUCAUAUCGCGCAACCCAGGAAUUGAUGAUAUUAAAAGAGAAGUAUGAUGAUCAGUUGUAUGAAAAUAUUCGAUACAUCUAGGACUAUGGUCAUGAGAGGAUUGUUCCUACAGGACCAAUGAAUGUUAAAUAUAUCACUGACCAUGUAUUGUCAUAUUUGCACAUCCUAGGAACUGAUGAGAUUAAAAGAGAAGUAUGGUUCCAGUUGUAUGGAAAGAUUUGAUACAUCCAAGACUACAGUAAUAACAAAAUUGUCUCUAGAGGACCAGUGAAUAUUUUAUAUAAAUUCCGACAAUGGACUUCACAUACUUUAUAUUGUGUAUCAUUUGAUCUUGGUUUUGUUGUUUUCUUGAGGAAUGUAGGUAUAUUGUUGUUUUCUUGAGGAAUACAUGUUAUCUAUGGUAUGUACUCAGUUUAAGUUUCAACCCUUCUCAUAUUUAUU
rnacentral:lncRNA from 1 species